rnacentral:rRNA from 1 species
CACCGGCGGCUCGAGUGGUGGCCACUUUUAUUGGGUCUAAAGCGUCCGUAGCCGGCUUGGCAAGUCCCCUGGGAAAUCUGGCGGCUUAACCGUCAGGCGUCCAGAGGAUACUGCCAGGCUUGGGUCCGGGAGAGGUGAGAGGUACCUCAGGGGUAGGGGUGAAAUCUUGUGAUCCCUGAGGGACCACCAGUGGCGAAGGCGUCUCACUAGAACGGGUCCGACGGUCAGGGACGAAAGCUGGGGGCACGAACCGG